rnacentral:rRNA from 1 species
UACGGAGGGUGCAAACGUUGCUCGGAAUCAUUGGGCGUAAAGCGCACGUAGGCGGCUCAGUAAGUCGGGUGUGAAAGCCCUCGGCUCAACCGAGGAAGUGCAUUCGAAACUACUGAGCUUGAAUACUGGAGAGGAUCGCCGGAAUUCCCGGUGUAGAGGUGAAAUUCGUAGAUAUCGGGAGGAACACCAGUGGCGAAGGCGGCGAUCUGGACAGAUAUUGACGCUGAGGUGGCGAAAGCGUGGGGAGCAAACAGG